rnacentral:rRNA from 1 species
GACGAACGCUGGCGGCGUGCUUAACACAUGCAAGUCGAACGGAGUGGCGAACGGGUGAGUAACACGUGGGUGAUCUGCCUUGCACUUCGGGAUAAGCUUGGGAAACUGGGUCUCAUACAGGAUAUGGCAAGAUGAGCUCGCGGCCUAUCAGCUUGUGGGUGGGGUAAUGGCCUACCAAGGCGUCGACGGGUAGCCGGCCUGGGAGGGUGUACGGCAACAAUGGGACUGAGGUAGGGGCCAGAAUGCUACGUGAGGCAGCAGGGGGGAAUAUUGCACAAUGGGCGGAAGUCUGAGGCAGCGACGCUGGGUGGGGGAUGCAGGCCUUCGGGUUGUAAACUCAUUUAGACAGGGACGCGGUACCUGUAUAAGAAGCACCGGCUAACUACGUGCCAGCAGCCGCGGUAAUUC